AUACGGAGGGUGCAAGCGUUAAUCGGAAUUACUGGGCGUAAAGCGCGCGUAGGCGGUUUGGUAAGUCGGAUGUGAAAGCCCCGGGCUCAACCUGGGAAUUGCAUUCGAUACUGCCGAACUAGAGUAUGGUAGAGGGAAGUGGAAUUUCCGGUGUAGCGGUGAAAUGCGUAGAUAUCGGAAGGAACACCAGUGGCGAAGGCGACUUCCUGGGCCAAUACUGACGCUGAGGUGCGAAAGCGUGGGGAGCAAACAGGAUUAGAAACCCCUGUAGUCC
rnacentral:rRNA from 1 species